GACGAACGCUGGCGGCGUGCUUAACACAUGCAAGUCGAACGGAAAGGCCCUGCUUUUGUGGGGUUCUCGAUUGGCGAACGGGUGAGUAACACGUGUGUAACCUGCCCUUGACUUUGGGAUAACUUCAGGAAACUGGGGCUAAUACCGGAGAGGAGCUCCUGCUGCAUGGUGGGGGUUGGAAAGUUUCGGCGGUUGGGGAUGUACUCGCGGGUUAUCAGCUUGUUGGUGGGGUAGUGGCUUACCAAGGCUUGGACGGGUAGCCGGCCUGAGCGGGUGACCGGCCACAUUGGGACUGCGGUACGGCCCAGACUCCUACGGGCGGCAGCAGUGGGGAAUAUUGCACAAUGGGCGGAAGCCAGAUGCAGCAACGCCGCGUGCGGGAUAACGGCCUUCGGGUUGUAAACCGCUUUCGCCUGUGACGAAGCGUGAGUGACGGUAAUGGGUAAAGAAGCACCGGCUAACUACGUG
rnacentral:rRNA from 1 species